rnacentral:rRNA from 1 species
UACGUAGGGCGCAAGCGUUAUCCGGAAUUAUUGGGCGUAAAGAGCUCGUAGGCGGUUUGUCGCGUCUGCUGUGAAAACUGGAGGCUCAACCUCCAGCCUGCAGUGGGUACGGGCAGACUAGAGUGCGGUAGGGGGAGAUUGGAAUUCCUGGUGUAGCGGUGGAAUGCGCAGAUAUCAGGAGGAACACCGAUGGCGAAGGCAGAUCUCUGGGCCGUAACUGACGCUGAGGAGCGAAAGCAUGGGGAGCGAACAGG